rnacentral:rRNA from 1 species
GACGAACCGUCCAAGCGUUGUUCGGAAUCACUGGGCUUAAAGGGCGCGUAGGCGGGCUAUCAAGUCCGGGGUGAAAUCCUCCAGCUUAACUGGAGAACGGCCUCGGAUACUGAUGGUCUCGAGGGGGGUAGGGGCACGCGGAACUGUGGGUGGAGCGGUGAAAUGCGUUGAUAUCCAUAGGAACUCCGGUGGCGAAGGCGGCGUGCUGGACCUCUUCUGACGCUGAGGCGCGAAAGCCAGGGGAGCGAACGGG